GACGAACCGUGCGAACGUUGUUCGGAAUCACUGGGCUUAAAGGGCGCGUAGGCGGGCGAUCAAGUCAGGGGUGAAAUCUUUCGGCUCAACCGGAAAACAGCUUCUGAUACUGGUCGUCUUUGAGUGAGGUAGGGGCAUGUGGAACUUCCGGUGGAGCGGUGAAAUGCGUAGAUAUCGGAAGGAACGCCGGUGGCGAAAGCGACGUGCUGGACCUCUUCUGACGCUGAGGCGCGAAAGCUAGGGGAGCAAACGGG
rnacentral:rRNA from 1 species